GAAGGUAGCAGAACGUUCUGUAUUAUAUCUAAUAGUUAUAAGGUUGCCUCUUAUAAUUAUUAAUGUAAGUGUAAACGCCUAAUAAAUAACAGAAGUGAGUAUGUAGACAUGAGUAACACUAAUUGAUAAAAGAUUAACAUAUACUUAAAG
rnacentral:rRNA from 1 species